UUGACCUCGGAUCAGGUAGGGAUACCCGCUGAACUUAAGCAUAUCAAAAGCCCCGGAGGAA
rnacentral:rRNA from 1 species